CUUUGGCCGAUCACUGCCUUCUGGGCCUGUGUCUUAGGCUCUGCAAGAUCAAACCGAGCAAAGCACACGGCCUGCAGAGAGGCAGCGCUCUGCCC
rnacentral:pre_miRNA from 1 species